GACGAACGCUGGCGGCGUGCUUAACACAUGCAAGUCGAACGGAAAGGCCCUGCUUUUGUGGGGUGCUCGAGUGGCGAACGGGUGAGUAACACGUGAGUAACCUGCCCUUGACUUUGGGAUAACUUCAGGAAACUGGGGCUAAUACCGGAUAGGAGCUCUUGCUGCAUGGUGGGGGUUGGAAAGUUUCGGCGGUUGGGGAUGGACUCGCGGCUUAUCAGCUUGUUGGUGGGGUAGUGGCUUACCAAGGCUUUGACGGGUAGCCGGCCUGAGAGGGUGACCGGCCACAUUGGGACUGAGAUACGGCCCAGACUCCUACGGGAGGCAGCAGUGGGGAAUAUUGCACAAUGGGCGGAAGCCUGAUGCAGCAACGCCGCGUGCGGGAUGACGGCCUUCGGGUUGUAAACCGCUUUCGCCUGUGACGAAGCGUGAGUGACGGUAAUGGGUAAAGAAGCACCGGCUAACUACGUGCCAGCAGCCGCGGUGAUACGUAGGGUGCGAGCGUUGUCCGGAUUUAUUGGGCGUAAAGGGCUCGUAGGUGGUUGAUCGCGUCGGAAGUGUAAUCUUGGGGCUUAACCCUGAGCGUGCUUUCGAUACGGGUUGACUUGAGGAAGGUAGGGGAGAAUGGAAUUCCCGGGGGAGCGGUGGAAUGCGCAGAUAUCAGGAGGAACACCAGUGGCGAAGGCGGAUCUUUGGGCCUUUCCUGACGCUGAGGAGCGAAAGCGUGGGGAGCGAACAGGCUUAGAUACCCUGGUAGUCCACGCUGUAAACGGAGGGUACUAGGUGUGGGGUCCAUUCCACGGGUUCCGUGCCGCAACUAACGCUUUAAGUACCCCGCCUGGGGAGUACGGCCGCAAGGCUAAAACUCAAAGGAAUUGACGGGGCCCCGCACAAGCGGCGGAGCAUGCGGAUUAAUUCGAUGCAACGCGUAGAACCUUACCUGGGUUUGACAUGGAUCGGGAGUGCUCAGAGAAUGGGUGUGCCUCUUUUGGGGUCGGUUCACAGGUGGUGCAUGGCUGUCGUCAGCUCGUGUCGUGAGAUGUUGGGUUAAGUCCCGCAACGAGCGCAACCCUUGUUCACUGUUGCCAGCACGUUAUGGUGGGGACUCAGUGGAGACCGCCGGGGUCAACUCGGAGGAAGGUGGGGAUGACGUCAAGUCAUCAUGCCCCUUAUGUCCAGGGCUUCACGCAUGCUACAAUGGCUGGUACAGAGAGUGGCGAGCCUGUGAGGGUGAGCGAAUCUCGGAAAGCCGGUCUCAGUUCGGAUUGGGGUCUGCAACUCGACCUCAUGAAGUCGGAGUCGCUAGUAAUCGCAGAUCAGCAACGCUGCGGUGAAUACGUUCCCGGG
rnacentral:rRNA from 1 species